ACGAACGCUGGCGGCGUGCUUAACACCUGCCAGUCGAACGGAAAGGCCCUGCUUUUGUGGGGUGCUCGAGUGGCGAACGGGUGAGUAACACGUGAGUAACCUGCCCUUGACUUUGGGAUAACUUCAGGAAACUGGGGCUAAUACCGGAUAGGAGCUCCUGCUGCCUGGUGGGGGUUGGAAAGUUUCGGCGGUUGGGGAUGGACUCGCGGCUUAUCAGCUUGUUGGUGGGGUAGUGGCUUACCAAGGCUUUGACGGGUAGCCGGCCUGAGAGGGUGACCGGCCACAUUGGGACUGAGAUACGGCCCAGACUCCUACGGGAGGCAGCAGUGGGGAAUAUUGCACAAUGGGCGGAAGCCUGAUGCAGCAACGCCGCGUGCGGGAUGACGGCCUUCGGGUUGUAAACCGCUUUCGCCUGUGACGAAGCGUGAGUGACGGUAAUGGGUAAAGAAGCACCGGCUAACUACGUG
rnacentral:rRNA from 1 species